rnacentral:tRNA from 1 species
ACUUUUAAAGGAUGGGAGCCAUCCGUUGGCCUUAGGAGUCAAAAAAAUUGGUGCAACUCCAAAUAAAAGUA